AUUGAACGCUGGCGGCAGGCCUAACACAUGCAAGUCGAGCGAGCGGCGGACGGGUGAGUAAUGUCUGGGAAACUGCUUGAUGGAGGGGGAUAACUACUGGAAACGGUAGCUAAUACCGCAUACCAUCAGAUGUGCCCAGAUGGGAUUAGCUAGUAGGGGGGGUAAUGGCCCACCUAGGCGACGAUCCCUAGCUGGUCUGAGAGGAUGACCAGCCAAACGGGAACGGGGACACGGUCCAGACGCCUACGGGAGGAAGCAGGGGGGAAUAUUGCACAAGGGGCGCAAGCCUGAUGCAGACAUGCCGCGUGUGUGAAAAAGGCCUUCGGGUUGUAAAGCACUUUCAGCGGGGAGGCGUUACCCGCAGAAGAAGCACCGGCUAACUCCGUGCCAGCAGCCGCGGUAAUUC
rnacentral:rRNA from 1 species